GACGAACGCUGGCGGCGUGCUUAACACGUGCAAGUCGAACGGAAAGGCCCUGCUUUUGUGGGGUGCUCGAGUGGCGAACGGGUGAGUAACACGUGAGUAACCUGCCCUUGACUUUGGGAUAACUUCAGGAAACUGGGGCUAAUACCGGAUAGGAGCUCCUGCUGCAUGGUGGGGGUUGGAAAGUUUCGGCGGUUGGGGAUGGACUCGCGGCUUAUCAGCUUGUUGGUGGGGUAGUGGCUUACCAAGGCUUUGACGGGUAGCCGGCCUGAGAGGGUGACCGGCCACAUUGGGACUGAGAUACGGCCCAGACUCCUACGGGAGGCAGCAGUGGGGCAUAUUGCACAAUGGGCGGAAGCCUGAUGCAGCAACGCCGCGUGCGGGAUGACGGCCUUCGGGUUGUAAACCGCUUUCGCCUGUGACGAAGCGUGAGUGACGGUAAUGGGUAAAGAAGCACCGGCUAACUACGUG
rnacentral:rRNA from 1 species